rnacentral:lncRNA from 1 species
CCAAGAUGCCCUAAUUUCCAAAUAGCAACUCCCAUAUCGUGACUUUUCAAAAGCACUAACACUUUUAAGAGGGGGAGUUCUAGAGUACAUUUGGUUUGCGACCAAAAUCGGGUUCGAAAUUGGAAUGGAUUAGAGUAAAAAACAGAAAGGUCAUAUCCUUUGAUGCAGUUGGUUUGCAAUCGAAAUCAAAAUCAGAGUUGGAAUAGGAUUUAAACACUAGAGGA